UAGGCCUUAAAGUUUUUUAAUUGACUUGUAUUUAAUAAUCUCAAUCAAAAAUAUAUGGCACCACUAGCUUCUUGUUACAAAGGACAGUUGCAGAUUUAACAAACCCACAAUUUUAACAGAAACCUCACUUUGUGCACUCUCUCUAAUAUAGUAACUGAUGAGGAAAAACAAGAUAUUCCAUUUUAUAUAAGCCUUUAUUUACAACUUGUUUAACAACUGUACACUUUUCUGUAGCCUUGGAAGCAUUAUUGUAUUUGACUAGGAAAAACAUUAUUAAAAUGUUUGAAUUCUUCUGACCUUUAUCUUGUAUUUUUGUCUAUAUACAGAUAUGUAUAUUAAUGCCACUACCAUGACAAUCUGGUAGUUACAGGACAAGAAUUCAUAGGUGAACUGAAAAGGGAAAUUAAUGGUUUGACACUCUAGAAGCCCAUUCUCUGACAGAAACUAUAUUGUUGGCAAUUUCGCAAACAGUUAUUUUGAUACUUGUCAACACAAAUUAGGACAGUCAAACAAGCUGCCACUGAGAAAAUAAAACACAGUCUCUUAUGCAGCACACAUCAAGUUAGUACAUUAGAAACAUGCUUGGGAACACCCUCUGGGGGAGAGAUGCUAGGAUAACCUAGUUAAAAGAAAGACAGCACAUUUACUUCAGGUUACUAGCUCAAUCUGACAUUUCUUUACUGCACUGAGUUGACUCAAAUAGUUAUGUCAAGCUAAAAACGUUUCUGGAAGAUACAAAUGCCUGGGCUUCAGAACAGCUUGAAUUAGUAAACUACUAAUCUAUACAGCCAGGCUAGGGGUGUGGAGAACAAAUCCAAUGCACCCAGAGCCACCACUCCAGAAGGCUUGAGGUCCAGCCCCUCAACAGUCAAAUGGCAUCGCCAGCCCGAAACUACCGACUCUGGAGACAUUGGUAUCCAGCAUGGGUUGGGGAAGACAUCACCAGCUGCACUACAGAGUUGGAAAACGCAGCUCAAGUUCCCAACAAGGAGAGAAGGCAUGUUUAUACAGUACCUCCUAGCAAGGGAUCGACAGUUAUUAAGGCUGAAAUGUCACAUACCAAGCCCAAGGGGCUCUUCAUUGCGCAUUGCUGAAGAAUUGCCUGGCCCACCCCGAUCAGCUCCUAAGGCCUGAACGUUCCUCUGUGUGGGACAGCUGCGAGACUCUUCUGAUGCCACCCACAUUCUGAGCUCCCUGGGGUGGCAGGGGGGUUAUUAGCAAUAAGCCCCUCGCUCUAGAUGGCAGUGAUGAGGGCCCUUCCUGGCAGAGUACUGGGAUCCCAUAAGGCUGAAGACCCCCCGCAUGACCCUCAAGAGAGGGAAUGUGGAAGGAUGAGUCACCCUGCUCUGCCCUCCCGCAGAGAAAAGGAAUGAGGAACAGAGUUUCGGAUUCCAUCCCAGUCCUUAUUUUCUCCUCUACCUCCUGCAGAGACCCCAAUCCUCAUCUCCCUUUGACCCCUGCAGAAGAGUCAGUGAUUGCUAGGGCAGAGAGAGGGAAAGUGGCAGUGAGCUCCCAGCAUCACUCCUCACAUCACCACCUCCAGAUUCUCUCCAGGCUGAUUAAACCUGGGGUGUAUCUGACGGGGAGGGCUGCCUGAGACUUACACAUGACAGUUAGGGGCAAUGUGAGAGCCCAGGCCCUAGCUAGUUGGACCAGGUGCUGAGGAGGAUAGGGGGCCCCCCCAAUACUCCUCCAGCCCUGCCCCACCUAUCCCUGUGUAGUGAUGUGAAAGGAGGGUGCACAGGGCAGGCCUCUAUACCAAGAAAGGGAUGUGCUGCCCCUACCCAACCUCCCAAGUCCUUUGCAGGCACAAAGACAGGGUUAAUUUGCCCCCAAGGCCCUGAUGCUUAAGUCUGCUCAUGAGUAAAGUUAAGGAUACAUCUAAGUUUCUGCAGGAUUGACAUCGAGGUGAGGAAGAGUGGGGUUACUCAAGAAUGGGACUUCUAGUCAAACCGAACCAUGUCCAGCACUAAUGAUUUCAGAUACUCUUGAGGCUUUUUAGCGAAUACUAUGGCUUACAAGGUCUCCCCUUUGCCCCAGAUGUUAAAACAACAGUAGCUACACAAUAGACACAUGAACUUAGAAUCCUAUAAAACAGCAUUUCCUCACGUCUUGUAUCUUGCCAGUGCUGUCUGAGUACAAAGUGAAAAUACAGUAAUACAAAUGUGUGGAUAUUUAAGAAUUCAAAAUUUUAAAUAAGUAGCUUUUUAAAUUAGUCAAUAUAGGUAGCACCAAAGCAUUCUGAGUUAUACUGUCUACAUACCGCAAAUCUUAUCGCAAUACUUCAUAAUACAAAGUAACAGGCAUGCUAGUGCAAUUGGAAAUGAAAUAACUAUAACGGGGAUAAGAAAGACAACUAAAAUAGUACAAGUAAAAUAUAAACAACUCAAAUAAGCUGGCAAGGCCAUUUUGCAUAAUACUGUAAGUCAGCAAGUGUAGGCUGCUUUUAUACUAGUUCUGUCCAUUCAGGUUCCUUUCUAGAAUUAUUUAACAUUUGUACACAGAUAGAAAAAAAAAUGUUACUGAAAGAAACCGAUGACAGCUAAAUGUAACAGUUACAAACUACUCUGUAGCUACAUAUUAAGGAAGUAUGCAAUGUUUGUAAAUAAAAUAUUCCAUUAUAGUUUGUCCAGGCUUGGAGCUUAGCAGAUAUACCUUGCUUAUUUUUUAAGGAACAUGGGAGGGCCAAACAACCAUUCAUAAUAAUUUUUUUACUACAAGAAAACUUUCUUGGCUUCACUUUAAAUAUUUAAAACCUGAUUAAAGCAGAGCCUUUAAAAGGUGCAGGAGCUUUAACAUAUGAAUGAUCAGAAAGGUAGAUUUAUGACCUCAUUACGACUAGCUGUUAUCUAGCUUAGCAAAUGGAACUGUAGCAGAAGGUUGUGUGUUAAUAAUCAGAAUGAAGUAGUCAAAGUGGAUAGACAAAGUAAAACGGAGUGCAGAAAGGGAACUGUGUCAAUUUACCAAAUACCCUCUCAGGAAUUCUGAAUACUGGCUUUUUCCCUGCGCCCCAGUCUCCUGGGGAGACUUUAUUUUGCAGAGGAGGGAAAAGGUGCAAGAGGGAGAUGGUAAAGCCACUCCCCAAGAUGGCAAGCUUCUUUGCAAGUGGAUCUCUCUCUCUGAAAUCAGAUGCCAUGAGUCUUAAGUGGCAGAACUGGUUAGUUUUGGGUUAUGCAGUCUGGACAGAAAAGUCAUGCACUGAACAGUCCCUGUUUGAUAAAUAAUGCUGCAGGUCAUGCAAUCACAUCACUGCAAAUAAAAAAAAAAUGAAGAAAGUUAAAAAGAAGCCAACAUUUCAUUACUGUUAAAAAUGAAAACAGAACAUGUAUUUUCUAAGCAGUUUAGUAAAGCUGUGUCAAGUUUAGUUCAGCGAGGUCGGGGGCUUCAACUGUUAUUUUAUUAAGGUGACUAAAAGCAUUCAAAAUAUGUGUAAUGUGCUAACAGCUGAAUGGAGGAACAAAAGCUAGUCUUAGUUUAGAACAGCGCUGUCACCUGGGAUGGGGGGACUAGGAGGAGGGGUGUUUGUCCCUAGCCCUCCCCCUAAGCUUUUUGCAUUUGGUCAAAAAUCCACAGGCCAUGGAGCUGGAGAUGGCUGUGGCCUGCCCACUUUUAAGCAGUGGUCCUAUGCUAGAACAGUACGACUACUGCUGGAGUGCGUCCAGAGCAUCACUCCAAUUGCAUGGUGCCAGCGCUACCAGGCUGCGACUCCACACAGAGAGAGAUGACUGGGCCAAAUGGUGCUGUGCCUUGGCAGAUGGGGUGGGAGUUCAGGGGAGUCUGUCGAGAAAGCGAGUCCUGGCAGCAUAGGCUUAUGCACAGUGUGGGUGAGAGAGAGGAGAUACUCUGCAGCUGAGGAAGACCUGGGGGGGUGAGGUGAAGAGACAAGCAGUGACUGGAACAGGGUCACUGGUGGGGGUGGGGCUGGAAUUGCACCCUUCCUCCCCUCCAAAAAUAUCUGAAUUUGGCACCACUGGUUUAGACGUCCUAACAGAGAGUCUUGUACAACUCCUAAUAACAGAGCAAGGCCCAGAUCCUCAAAGGCAUUUAGGCACCUAAUUCAAAUCAAUAAAUACCUUUGGGAAUCUGUACCCAAGUGGCUCUACCCAACACCUUAGUGCAGAAUGAGCCUGGCAUGUGUCUGCCGAGGCAAGGAAUAGUUAUGAAAUUGGCCUCCACAACUUUCACUCAUUCUUGCUGCCUGUCAUCACAGUCAGUAAAAAAAAACAUUUCCAGAAGUAAAAAGGUGCCUCUGUCACAUCAUAUGUUUUAACUAUUGAAAAAGGCAAUGGAGUUAUAAUUUCCAUUCUCAUCUGUGAGAAAUUCCACAUAGAGUUAGAAGAUAAAAACACUGAUGAUUAAGCAUUAGUUUUUGAUUAGCUGCACCAAAGCAAUACUAUGUCUGAUGCCUAACAAGCACAUCCCCGUCACAUUCGUUUUACAUUAAACAAGCUUUAACCAUUUGAUGUAAAAUAAGUUUUUGAUCAAAAGUAAAUUUUAGCUAUUACUAUAGAAAUAU